GCUGCCCCCGGGUGCGCUUGGGCCGGGGCGUCCACGCCCCAGACCGCCCUCCCCUCGCGCCGGGCCCUGCCGCCAGGCGCCCCCACUCCGCCCCGCCAUGACGUGUUCCUCCCCUGCGCGCCUUCUUCGGGACGCCGCGCGCUCCGGGAGAAACCAAACGGCUCUGAAUUGAAAGCCCAAAGAGAAAACCCAGCACACUCCAGUCCCAGAAAUGCCAGGAAUGGUUAGGGAAUGAGGGGAAGAGGAGUCCCCGAAUCAGGAAGAUUAGCAAGCACUCCAGGCCAGCGGGGAGAAAGCUGCGGAGUUCUUCGGGAGAGAGCGCCUGGAUGUGGACCGAAGCACCUGCUCCGUGGUGUGGUGUGUUUACCACGCUGGGAGAAGCCCAGUCUCUGGUGACGUCGGAAGCCUACAAGUGCCUACCUGUGAGGAGUUGGUUCCCUUGCAACUGGAGCCCGAAGCAAGAGGUCAGUGUCAGAGUGUGGAGGACAGGGCUGCAGGGCACCAGCACUGGGCCUUGAGUGCUGGCCCGAGGCUUUGAGAUUGGCGGUGCCUGAAGCCUUACACACAUCACUCAGUCUUUCCCAACACUUUGUGAGAUGCAGCCUUGUCCUUGUUUUGCAAAUGGGGAAACAGAGGUUCGGAGGAAGUUAAGUCACUUCCUUGAGGCGGUAGCUCAGAUUUGAGUGGAACCCAAAUUUGAGUCCAAGUGUUUCCAAACUCCCAGCCUGGCUUUUUCCACGGCCUCAUCUGCUGGGCAGAAAAUGUCUUUCCGUGCAGGAGUUCCAUCCUUGAGCAGCGGCAGUGUGCAGACUUCCAGGGACACUGAGAAAUACUGUGCUGAAAAACCUACAGCAACCAUACAGAUGGGUUCCGGCUGCGGUGACAGUUACGUAGGGUUGCUUUUGGAGAAAACAGGAAGAAACCGAGGCAAUGAGCCGGAGCCCAGGGCUUCACAGGUGUGGCUGAGGGAUGGUCGACAGAAACGCGGAGGUCCAGGGUCGGCGCUGCGGUGUAGCGGGUAAAGCCUCUGUCUGCGAUGCUGCCAUCCAGUAUAGGUUCCCGUCUGAGUCUCUGAGUCCCAGCUGAUCCAGUUAAGGCACUUGGAAAAGCAGCAGGGGAUGGCCCAGGUGCUUGGGCCCCUGCACGCAUGUGGGAGACCUGAAAGAAGCUCUUGGCUCCUGGCUUUGGCCUGGCACAGCCCUGGCCAUUGCUGCCACUUGGGAAGUGAAUCAGUGGUUGGAAGAUCUCUCUCUCUCUCUGUGUGUGACUGACUUCCAAAUAAUUAAAUAAAUCUUAAAAAAAAAAUGAAAAAAGAAAAGCAGAGGUCCAUCCAUAAAGUGGUAUGCUAGCUGUGCUACACGCGUUAGCAAGGAGAAAAGUCUAAAGCUGACAGGUAAUGGCUUCUGGAGCAGAGAGAUGGAGGACUUUCGGGUGUAUUUGCCCGCAUUUGGUUGCCGAGGCUGCAGAAUUCGUUGAGAGACUGACACCACUGUGGAGAGCAAUUGUGGCAGAAGAGAAGGUGUGGGCGUCCAGGCAGGAAGUUCUCACUCUGGGCGAUUGGUGCCUCCCUUUUGAAAAAGCAGGUUAGAGCCCCAGCCUGCUAUCUUGUUCUCUUGCCAGCGAAGUCCUGAUUCCUAUGAACUCAUGAAUGGCUCCAGGCAACCACAGUGGGAUUACAUUUUGCAUAAUCCUCAUUAUUUUUCUUGUUGUCAGUAAGGGUAUUUGAAGGUGCUCAAAAAGUCAGUGGGUUCUAACUGGAGUGAAAACGGGCAUUAACAUCUGUCUUUAGAAGAGAAACCAAAAUAAGCAGAUUUGUGAACUGAGAGUGGAAAUGGAGGCUCUUUCUGGUGGCCCGUCCCCCUCUACCAACUUCAGCAUCUGCUGAAUUCUUAGUUUCACAUCAGUAUAUUAUUAGGUGAAAACAAUCGUUGCCUCUCUCUCACAUGUUGUGAAAAUCAGUGGGGUAUUCAGUAUUCAACCGUAGCCGGCCUUGAAGGCUCGGACUGUCUCCAUUUGAUUUUCUUUCCCAGGAAGGCCCUGUUUCAGACGGGCUGACUUGCAGUAUUGGCCAGGAGUGAUCCACUUGUGCUGCCUCAGACGGAUUCCUAUCAGUUUGCAAACUCUGUGAGUGUAGAAUCUCUAAUACAAUAUGGUUGUGCUAGGGCUGGCGCCGCGGCUCAAUAGGCUAAUCCUCCACCUACGGCGCCGGCACACCGGGUUCUAGUCCCAGUCGGGGCACCGGAUUCUGUCCCGGUUGCUCAUCCUCCAGUCCAGCUCUCUGCUGUGACCUGGGAGUGCAGUGGAGGAUGGCCCAAGUGCUUGGGCCCUGCACCCCAUGGGAGACCAGGAGAAGCACCUGGCUCCUGGCUUUGGAUCAGCGCAGCGCACUGGCUGCUGUGGCCAUUGGAGGGUGAACCAAUGGCAAAGGAAGACCUUUCUCUCUGUCUCACUCUCUCACUGUCCACUCUGUAAAACAAACAAACAAAACAAUACGGUUGUACUCAGGAUAGUGUUGCACAACAUGGACACAAUCUUUGGGUGGGGAAAUAGUAAACUGACAUUAUGACCUUAUUGUCACCUGGACCUGGCAUAUUCUUGCUUAUAACACUGUGAGAAGGUCUCGAUAAAAAACAGGGCUUGAGAAAGUCCCUGAACAGCAACCUGAUGCUUUGCGGAACUGUCUGGAAUCAGAAGGCCCGUUGCCAAGGCCCAAGCGCUGAGAGGAAAUGAUGAGACUACAAAUGGUGUGGAUAAGAUGAGCACAGACUUGUUCAUCACAUACAGAAAUACAGCAGUGUUUUGGGAUCACAUGUGAGGCAAGUUCAGGACAAGUCAGUGGAAACAGACUUCACACAGCAGGUAGUAAAUUUAUGGAAUAAAUGAUCUCGCAGAGGUGGAGCAAGCUGGCAACAGGAAUGGAUUCCAGAGGGGUUUGGACAGAUGUGUGAGUGCCAGGGACACAGUGGAGCAUGGCAGUGGUCAGAAGCCCGUGGUGGAAUUCCACGUGGCCUUUACACAGCGCCGACCUGGGGCCUUACUGGACAACAGAGUCCUGACGCCAUUGAGCUUGGGUGUGAACUGAUGGGCACUGCCAACACCACCACCUCCUCCUGAUCCUGCAGUCGCUGUGCCCCUGGCCUUAGACGUUUUGCCUAAACCUGAUAGCCCAUUUAAAACACAUGACUUGGGGGCCGUUGUGAUAGGGCAGCAGGUUAAAGCUGUAGCCUGCAAUGCUGGCAUCUCUCUCUCUCUCUCUCUCUCUCUCUCUCAACUCUGCCUUUCAAGUAAGUACAAUAAAUCUUUUAAAAAUGUGUGACUUUUUUCAUUUUGGCUUUUGACUUCUAAACAGAUUUGAGUGUCUGCCUUCAUAUUGGUUUUUAUAUUAACCUCUUGCAAUUAGAUUUAUGUUUAGACCUUGUACCCUAAAUUACCUGAUUCUGAUCAUGAAAGUGCCCUUAAAAGCAGCUACAACAGUAUACUUUUCUGGGAGCACUGUCUUUUUAAAAAAUAUAUUUUUAGAGUCAGAGAGAGGGGGAGAGAGAGAGAGAGAGAGAGAGCUUCAUUCACUGGUUCACUCCCGAAAUGGCUGCAAUGGCCGGGGCUGGGCCAGCCUGAAGACAGAAGCUAGGAGCCAGGAGCUUCUUCCAGGUCUCCCACACAGGUGCGGGCUCAAGGACUUGGACCAUCUUCUGCUGCUUUCCCAGGCACAUUAGCAGGGAGCUGGAGCAGACGUGGAGCAGCCGGGACUUGAACCAGUGCCCAUAUGAGGUGCCGGAGUUGCAGGUGGCAGCUUAACGCCCUACACUACAGUGUCGGCCGCGGGAGCACUUUCUCUAUGCAAUGUCCAGAAUGUCUUCAAUACUGCACCCAGGAUAAUAGGAAGAAGGUGACUCUUACGGCCAUAGCUCCAAAUCGUGGGCCUGGGGAAAGUUCAGGAAAUUCUUAGAUGUCUCCUCUAGUCUCAGCUUGUCUUCUCACUCCGUCCGUGCACUUUGUGCCUUCUUUAAGUUGUAGAGACAAAGCCCCAUGCCUGGUUCUAGCGUGAGGGUGAGAGUGGAGGCGCAGAUGGGAGGGCCCUUUGUUGAUCCCUCUGGGGCACUGAGGGCUCAGUUUUCAUUUUCUGUUCCUGGCUCACAGCCCCCCCCCCCCCCC